GAUCAUGGCUCAGGAUGAACGCUAGCGGCAGGCUUAACACAUGCAAGUCGAGGGGCAGCGGGGUGUAGCAAUACACUGCCGGCGACCGGCGCACGGGUGCGUAACGCGUAUGCAACCUACCCAUAACAGGGGCAUAACACUGAGAAAUUGGUACUAAUUCCCCAUAACAUUCGAAGAGGCAUCUCUUUGGGUUGAAAACUCCGGUCGGUUAUGGAUGGGUCGAUGCGUUGUAUUAGUCUAGUUGG
rnacentral:rRNA from 1 species